rnacentral:rRNA from 1 species
UGGGGAAUAUUGGGCAAUGGGCGCAAGCCUGACCCAGCAACGCCGCGUGAGGGAAGAAGGUCUUCGGAUUGUAAACCUCUGUCCUUGGGGACGAAAAAAAUGACGGUACCCAAGGAGGAAGCUCCGGCUAACUACGUGCCAGCAGCCGCGGUAAUACGUAGGGAGCGAGCGUUGUCCGGAAUUACUGGGCGUAAAGGGUGCGUAGGCGGCAUGGCAAGUCAGAUGUGAAAUCCCCGGGCUUAACUCGGGGGGUGCAUUUGAAACUGCUGUGCUUGAGUGCAGGAGAGGAAAGCGGAAUUCCUAGUGUAGCGGUGAAAUGCGUAGAUAUUAGGAGGAACACCAGUGGCGAAGGCGGCUUUCUGGACUGUAACUGACGCUGAGGCACGAAAGCGUGGGGAGCAAACA